rnacentral:lncRNA from 1 species
UAACAUUCCAUCCCCCCCGUUUGCUCACCAGUUUCUUCUACAAAAAACUUUCACAAUACAAAGCAGUGCUUGGCUGCACUGGCUGUUCUGUGCUCGGGCCUCUCUGAAAAGUCCCAGCAACAAGAAGAAUGGCCAACCUUCCAGCCAUGUCUUUGGCAAUGAUAAACCAUUGUGCAAACUGAAACUCUUCUCCUCCUGAGUGCAAGGAAUUAUCCUCUCCCAUCAUGUUACUGCAAGCACAUCAUCAAUGAGAUCUUCCCAUUGGUAUCAUCUCCUCGGUGUUGUUUAUAAAGCAGGUAUUUACUUUUUCUGCUUCUAUGCCACCAAUGGUUAAACUACUAAAUGCAAUAUUCGUUCUGAAUUAUGCAAGGUAGAAUCAAAAAAACUUCAUGGUUUUAUCUGCUACCUGAUGUCAGUACUGCGUAGCCAAUGACCUGAACACCAUUUAUUUUAGAAUCACAGAUGAUGCUAUCCAUUUCCUUAUGAUGUCAGCAGCCUUGUUAUUAACUGCUGCUGGAAGAAUCCUUAUGUGAGAAAGAAACUCUGAGCUCACAAUAAAUAUACUGUGAACAUGCAAGCUAUGACAGUGAGGUCAGGUAAAUGGUGACAGAGCAAUAUGCUCCAUCAGUGAUUUGAGGAGGUGGGACCAAGAUACAGUUGACCUAAGCAACCAAAGAUCAGGCCUCAGUGUGUAGUUAGUAGAAAGAAGGUAAACUGACGAUGGAAUCAAACAUCUUUGUUAUCUUGGCAAGUCUGUGUGUUUCCAUAGCGUUGCUCUUUUUCUCUAAACACUGAAUGAAUCAA